rnacentral:rRNA from 1 species
GAUGAACGCUAGCGGCAGGCCUAACACAUGCAAGUCGAGGGGUAACUAGAGUGAUAGCAAUAUUACUUUGGCUAGACCGGCGCACGGGUGCGUAACACGUAUGCAACCUACCUUAUACUGGGGAAUAACUUCGAGAAAUCGGCGCUACUACCCAAUAACAUUGCGAAGAGGCAUCUCUUUGCAAUUAAAGCUCCGGCGGUAUAAGAUGGGCAUGCGUCCAAUUAGCUAGUUGGUGAGGUAACGGCUCACCAAGGCGACGAUUGGUAGGGGUUCUGAGAGGAUGAUCCCCCACACUGGUACUGAGACACGGACCAGACUCCUACGGGAGGCAGCAGUGAGGAAUAUUGCGCAAUGGACGAAAGUCUGACGCAGCCAUGCCGCGUGCAGGAUGACGGCCCUAUGGGUUGUAAACUGCUUUCGUACGGGAAUAAACCCUUCUACGUGUAGGAGGCUGAAGGUACCGUAAGAAUAAGCACCGGCUAACUCCGUGCCAGCCGCCGCCGUAA